GCAGUCUUGUAAACAGGAUCAGGGGCAUCAAACCGGGUGGCCUCUCCACGCAGGUAGUUUAUAGGGCUAUCUGUAGAAAAAUUGUUAAUUGCCGAAUCCUUGUUGAACAAAUAAGCAUCAUCAGGUAUCCACCUCCUCAACAAGGUGUCAUUAUCCGGCGUAAUAUUUGAUCCACCAAAGUUAAUUCUAUGGAUUAGACGUAAGGGGCUAGACAACAGACUCUUGUAGUCUGUCGUGUUUCCUUCUGGAGUUAUAUAUGAUUCAGAAUCACGAAAGAACUCAAAUGGGCUAAGAAAAAAUUCAAUUGCAUUGACAAAAGCAAAAGAAUUCUGGGGUAAGAAAUGAAUUCUGAACUUUCCAGAGGUAUUAAUUUUGAGGAAGAACUCUUUGAUGAUCGGUAAACUACUGCCGUUUUUGACACUGAAAUUCGAUAAAAGAGAAAACCCAGAAGCCGACACAUUGAAAUGAGCAUCGAAGAGAUUUUCCUGCGAAGAAAAGGGAAAGAAAUGGAAACGUACCAUAUAGGUGCCAUUUUGGACUUCGUCUAGCUCGUACCAAGAUGGUUUCUUGAAAAUCCUGGCACUUUCAUAGAGAUCGCCAAGUGAAGUAGGGUCUCUAAUUGUGCUGAUUUUGUGGGAAGACACGGUGAAAGUGCUGGGAUUUUCAUCGCCGAUGAAUAAAGUCUUAUCGGCGAACUUGAAGCUAGAAGCUGAACCACAGUUGAUGAAGUACUUUUCAGGUAAAACAUAAUCCGAGGCCAGAGAGAAAAUAAAAGAAAAGAGAAAGAGGAACAGCAGAAAAAGAGCAAUAGAAAUCUUGUUGAACAGAAAAAUUUCCAUAGAUAAAAUAUUUUUGGUGGAGAAUGUGUUUACUGAUAGGAUAUGAUAUGCAGGGAUGAAUAAACGACAAUAAAGACAGUACAUGUAAGAAAACGGGUGUGGGACCAAGUUGACUUGACGUUGACUUCUUGUUGUUUGUUUCAGGCCUAGUCAUUUUCUUCAAAAUGUAUUUUCCUUUCUUUUCUUUUUAACAACACAUUCUUUAUUAAAAUAAUAUUACACGUAAAUAAAAUUUUUUUCCAAAAUGAGAAUAAAUGAGGAAUUUUUUAUUUUUUAUUUUUUAACAUCCAGUAGUACUUUUUGCUCGUUCACGUUGGAAUGUUUUAGCUCAGAGAAUCAGAAUAAUACUUUAAUUUACUUCCACCUUUGUCUUUGGUGCAUUGGUUUAAUGACAAUAUCCACUUAUUUUCAUCAAGAAUACAAAUGCAUCCAUAUUUUAUGACUAUAUCUAAAUCUGUGAGUGUAAGUCGACUCUACCGAAGUUAUGCUUCUUAAACAUAAUGAGUAAUUUGAGAUAGACUAUGUUAUUUGAAAUUAUUUGACUCUUAUGUAAAUCAAGUUAAUAUGUUCCGUUUUACUUUAGAAUGUGAUUAAGUUAGCGAUUCACGGCGUUAUGUGAAAAAUAGGAAUCCUUCUCAAAAUUUAGCUUCCCGUAUUCAAAUGUUAUUCAAGAUACGGUUUAAUCUUUACUCCUAAGCAUUGUUUAAAAUACUUUUUGCGGCUUUCAUAGCAAAUUCUACCUCAUGCGAGGCUUUUAUAAAAUGCCUCAAAGCUAAAACCUUGAGGCACAUUCGUGAGGCUUACACCUCGAGGGGAAUAGAAUAUGUGCUUGUUUGUCUUGUAUUUUCUUGAUAUUUUGUUAUUGAUCUUAGCAUUUUUGGACAUUUCUUUAUAAUCUAAAAUAUUUUAUGAUUUUAUUUUUUUUAAAUUUUCUUUUCUGUCUCUUAGGGGAUGGAGAAUACACCAUGAUGGGUUGUGAAGGAUAUGACAAAGAACGAGAAGCAGCUAAGAGUGAUGAAGUGGAAGACUUUGCUAAUUUCCUAAAAAUCCUAUUUUACCUUUGUUUCAUGAUUACUAACUCGAGAACUUAUUAUUUGAGAUGAUAUAUAAUUUAUUAUAAUCAUAUUUUUGCAUUUUUACAGCACUUUGAAUAUUUUAUUAAUUUUUCUAGAGACCUGCGUAUCGCCUCACAAAGAAAAAAGAUGCCUCGAUCAGCACAUGACGGAGCAUUUUCAAAUUAUGCCUUUUCUAUUCACUUCAAGGGAUGGGAUCCCACUGUGCACAUUGGAGAGAAUUUAAUGUUGAAAAUGCAUUUAUCAUCAUCCUCCAUUUUAGUUUUUGGGUUCUAAAAAAGAUUAAGAAGUUUUAUUUUAGAUGAUUAAAUCACAAAUUUCAACUAGAGUUCAAUACAUACUAGAAAGGUUCCAUUUAACAUUAUAAUACUUGUGAUGAGGCUUACCUUUUUUAACUAGAUGUACUGUUGUUCCCAACAUAUUAAAUUAAAUGUUAAAUGACAAUGACUAUAUUAAAAAUAUUUAUGCUCAACAAAUAUCUGAAAUAUGCAACAACGAAAAGAGCGUCGUGAAAUCAUAAAUGUGUAUAAAACGCUUAUCGUGCCAUUAAACUUGAUAAUUAUUGUUAAUUUGAUGGAUUUCUACAUAACUGUAUUGUAAAUAUGAUAUUUACUGAAGACAAAACUCAGACUUGGAUGUAUUUGUAGCGAAAAUGGAAGGUUUUUGAGUUUUAAUUGGAGUUGAUUCUAAUCAAUAUAAGGCUAAUUAAAAUGUAUGUGAUUGAUUAGAAGUAUUGAGAGAGCAGUCAAAUGAAAUGCACAACUAUUGAGUGAAAUUUAAUAUUUUAAAAAAUUGGAGACUAAGUUUUACAAUUUCAAAACCUUCAGAAGACUAAUUUCGAAUUAUUAGAGAAGUUUUGGAGACCAACAAGUUAGUGAUCAAUGAAAUAUUUAUGGCAUCAUGAUAAGGGUAAGGCAGCAUAGUCGGUCAUGUGGCGAGGCAAUGAGGCUUGUGCUUCAGGCCCAAAAUCGGAGGGGACCUCAUUUUUUGUCCAAGAUUUUUUUUAAUAUUAAAUGAAGUAAAAGGAAAUAUGUUUUUCAUUCCUUUUUCUAUCCUGCGACUGCUCCCUAUCUAUUUUAUCUAUCUAAACAAUCCUCACUAACCAUUUUUCCAUCCAAAGCCCACCAAAAGUACAAUCCUGUUGGUUAUAUUUAUCUCUCAUUCUUGAAAUUUCAGCAUGUCAAAAUGCAGAUAUUGAUGGCGUCAAUAUUGGUGAGAGGCCAUGGCUUUGAAUUUUCUUUCCCCAACUGAAAUCAUGUUUCCCUUUUUUCUUGGACACUUCUAAAUCUUCUUACAACCUUAAUCUCCUCAAAAACCAAGGUAAAUCCCACCCCCACAAAUCUCUUUCUUUAUGACAAUUUCGGUCUCGAUUAGUUCACAAGAUUAAAUGGCCAAUUCUCCUCCGGACACUUGGGUUGGGCAAAGCAGGAUGUUUAAGCUGCUUCGGGCGCUAGCUUAAGGAGAGGGCUUUCUUUAAGUUAAGGCAUUCGGGAAGUAGGAGAGUGAGCAAAGUUCUCUAGGAAGUCAGCCAUUGGUGUCUUUAUUUGAAUUGUUAAUUAUACUCAUGUUAGAGUUUAUUAUUUUGUGUUGUGGAUGUGAUUUUAAAGAAGUGUAGUCGCGUGAACUGCGUUGAUAUAUAAUGGGGGAUUGAUAUAAAGGUAGUGGGUAAUUUCACUUUUUAUUUUGGUUAAUGACAAUAUAAAUAUAGGGAUUAGUAUAAUUAUAAGCUUAUUCCCCGUGAAAGCAGAAAUAGUAGGAACACUUUUUUACUUUGGCUAAAAUAAGCGAAAAGCUACUUUUUACUUCAAGUUUUGAGGUGUUUUAUACCAAAGUGAAGUAACAAAAGUAAUUGAAGUAUUACAAUAUUUGAAGAUAUUGAAUGUUUGUUUCCCAAAUACUUAUUGUUUCGCGCGGGUUAGUCGCUAACAAUUAAAAGGGAUCAGACGAUUGUGUAAGGGACAAACCUCUUGAGACAAAGUCCCAAAAAGGGGUGUUCUUUUAUUGGCGAUGACUUUACAAUUGGAAAUGAAAAACAACGUGCCUCCAAGGGGCGCAAGCACACGAGUUAUUGAAAGAAAAGUGUUUAUGUCUAAAAACUAAGGAAAUGAAAAUUACAUAUUCUCUGUUUGAGAGUUUUGGAUUCGGUCUUUUGCUUCUAUGUCCUUUCUCCCUUUUAUACUUCAUAGACGAUCUCUUUGUGAUUAACUACUCUAAAAACUGCUUGAUCGUCCUAUAACUACCCACUUUCUUCGUAGUGGCCAUUUUGUCAUGAAAACUACCUUUUAACUGCUGCCAUUACCUUUCAUCGUUCAACAGCUUUCGAUUGAAUUCCUUGAAUCGUGGAACGUGAAAGGGCUGCUUCAACAACUGCUUUGAUAACUGCAUUUCUUGAUAACCACGACGCGUUAUGUUUGUUGAUACCUUGGGCGACUUGAAGGUUUGGGCAAGAAUAAAAUAACAGCUUUGGGCGACCUUAUGACACUCUAUUCGUUCAGAUUCUGGGCGACUUGCAAACUUGGGCGAUGGCGUUACCGCAUUCUUGGGCCCCCUUAUUUGGGCUUCACCUUGAUUUGUUCAAUUGUACUUCGUUCUUUGGGCUAUCUGAUUUGGGGAUCCUCCAAUUGGGCUUUACUCCUUGGGCUGUUCGAUUUGGGCUGAAUUUUUAUGUGUCAACAAUUACCCCCCAAUAUGGUAGAAUUAAUAAUAAUUAUUGAAUUUUGCCAUAUUUGCUUUGUGUUUCCAGCAACGUUUGAAAUUCCCAAGAAUUUCAAUCAUUGUUUCCUUCUAUAACUUGAAAAGGUGCGUCGUUUUGCAAACCCUUAUAAACCCCAAACACGCCAUUUCACUGCUACCAAACCACGCCUCAUAUUUUUUGCAUCUCUUUCACGAUUCACUGUUCAUCUUUUGCUUCCUUGCUACGUAACCCUGAAAAGCUUCGUUCCUUCUCCAAUGGCUGCUUCACAAUCUCAAGCUAGCGAUUCCUUUAGUUUUGAUGAUUUUCAGAGACUUCUGAGUCGCCCAUACAUAACCCCAAGUUUUCUCGCACCCGCCGAUGUUGGACGUAAUGAGUUCUACUUGGGUCCUUUUUUCAACAAUGCAGAGGCAGUUGAACAGGCGGCGGUAGGUUAGUUGUUUCCUUGCACUCAGGGUCCUCCAUUCCUGAACUCUCUACCGUUGGGGCCACUUCGCGAAAGAGGUAUUCGCACUUGGCCUAAAUCUGAUGUAGCUUUUCGUAGGUGGCAUGCUCCUCUUGUGGGUCAUGGUCCUACUAAGGCACUUUUUGAUAGCGCUAGGAUUUCUGAUUUAUUAGAAGUCUCUAUUCGCUCCCCUACUUUUGAUUCAGCACUCUUUUCGAUUGCUUUGAGUUUUUGGUCCCCUGAGUAUAACACCUUUAUUUUCCCUCUUGGCCCCAUGUCUAUUACGUUAAGGGAUGUUGGGGCCCUGGUGAAUCUACCACCUUUGGGCGAUACCAUUUUCCCAGUUAUCUUAGUUUCUGGUGACGCCCCAAAGUUUGGUAAAAACUAUACCGACUCUUAUUCAAGCCUGCAGACCCUCCACAAUCAUUCGAGUGCUGAGCCUACCCAUACUGAGCGAGUGACCUUCCUUUUAGUUUGGCUUUGUAAAUAUAUUUUGUGCGUGCCAAGUAUAAAGCCCUCUCUGAGUUAUUUACCUAUAGCGCACGAAUUAGCGCGUGGCAGGCCUUUGAAUUUAUGUUCUUUGUUUCUAGCUGCCCUUUAUAGAGGCAUGGCCUCUAUCCAAGCUCAAUUGAAGAAUGGCGCAUCUCCUACUGGCAGUGGACCUCUUUGGUUUACUCAACUGUGGUUGAGAUCCUAUUUUCCAUCGCUUGGUGCUCCAUCCAUUUCUCGUCCUUCUGCUAGCUGUUACGGGCUAGCUAUGGAGCCCCUUACUCCUGUAAAUAUGUCCAGAAGGGACAUUUUUUCAUUCUUUUAUUCUUUAGAUUCAAUCUCUUCCUUUUUUUCUUUUCCUCAUUUUUUGACUCCAAACUAUGUACAUCCCCCUUCCACCAUAGAUAGCGCGAGCACCUCCCUGCUCAUUUGGAUUCAAUUUUUAACCGGAAGGGAGCUAUUUCAUGAUAUUCUAACUGGGACUAAUGCUAAGGCAGGGGUAGAGAUUUAUGCUCCCCAAUUUUUUGCUCGCCAGCUUGGUUUUGGCCAAACUUGCCCUGUUCCUCUUUGCUAUUCAAAGAAUUUAGUUGACCGUUUUCAUACCAUUACUAAAGCGGAGGCAGAGGCUAUAGAUGCUCGUAAUCUCCUUUUAACCAGUCAUUUUUCAUUGGCCCCUUUCAAUUCUAGCCACGCCAUUCACCCUCUUUGUCUAUUCGGAGCCCCUCUCUUUCUCGUCGCACUAAACAAUCUGCUCGUCCAUCUUCUUCCCUCCCCGCCAAGCCUACUACAGCCAAGAGUGCUCCAAGCCGUAAACAGCCAGCCUCAGCAUCUCCCAUUCUGGAGGAUGAUGUCGAUGAUGAUGACCCUCUUAUUGUCAGGAGGAAGGUAAUUAAAUUGGUUUACUUACAAGUAUACUUUUCCACACUUGAAACUUUUCUGUGUGCUGAUGAUCUUUUGGAUUUCUCAGAAAAGUUCAGCCUCUCCUUUAAAGGCUUCGACAUCGACAACUCCUGCUCCAUCAUCUCCUACUGAGGCUACUUCAUCCAAACCGGUUGAUGAGGGGGCUACGCUUAAAGAGACAUCUUCAGUCCCAGAAUCCUCAUCACAACCCAUGGAUGAGCUACCUUCUUCCCAGGGCAUCAACCCCCCAAACAUCGAAGCAGAAGGUAAUUCAGUUUUUUGAUGUCUUACCUUUGCUCGUGCUAUUGGUUUCUGAUUUGUUGCUCUUGAACUUUGCAGAUACUCCUAUGAGUCCGCCCGUUGUGGCAACAUCUUCUCCCUCGGACAAGGGGAAGUCCUCACGAAUGGAUGAGUCGUUGGUGGCAAGCUUAGUUGAGGGCCCGCCAUCUUCUACGAUUGUCGACGAGGUAGUCUUUGCUUCAUUUCUAUUUCCACCUUGUUUGUUGUAGUGAGGAUUUUUAAUAUUGGCAAUCUUCUUUGCAGGAUGCUGACAGGAUUGUGCGUUCUAUCCAGGACUUGUUCGCUUCUUGGGGGCAAGUCCAGAUGCCUCGCCCUGCUCCAUCUGAUUGUCCUGCUGCUUCUUCAGAAGAAGAUUUGAAGUUCCUGAAGGAGUCGAUAUUUGAGUACGUAUCCUUCAUGGAUAUGGAUAUUGGAAGGGCUAGUGCUGCCAGACACAAGGAUGAACUUGAGCACUUGAGUGCGAAGUUGGAGCAAGCACUGACGCUUCCGUCGCUCAAUCUUUCUGCCAACUUUAAAGCGACGUUGAAGGUCAUCCACUCCUAGGUCCUUUCUAUGCUGGCCAAGAAUGCUGAACUAAAGGCCAAGCGUACUCAAUAUCUUCGAGCCGUAGCUGAGAAAGAGUCUUUGCGUAUGGAGAUUAACAAGGUUAAGGACAAGUUGAAAGAAAUCUCUUCCGAAGUCAUGAUUGAAGACUCUUUGAUGGUUAACUUUGCUGCUCAAAUGAGGGAACUUCAAGCCAAAAUGGACGACUGCAGGGCGAGGAUGGCUGCUAAAAAGCGCAACGCCUCUCAGGGAAUUGAGCGAACUAAGUCCUUGGUCGAGCAGUACAAGAAGUUGGAAGUUGAUGAUGAUGACGUCGCGGCUGAAUUGAACAUCACUUCUUCUCGACAGCACGAGGAUUGGGAAAAACUUAGGGAACGAAUUCGUUCCAUAUGUGGUAGACUGUAAUUAAGACACGUGAUGUCUUUUUUUUCUUUUGUAAUUCGAUUUUUCCCUUUGUAACUUUGUUCAUCAUUAAUGAACAUUAACUUCUUGUGCAUUUAUUUGACGUUUAUUUUUUAGUCAUCAAUUCUUUAAGCACUUAACUGCUUUGCACUAAGAAUCUUAUCCAUUUUCUUUUGAUAUUUCCACCACUUUUCCCAAGACUUUGGGCUAUUUAAUUCCGUUUAUUAGACAGAAAUGUGGCUGUUCAUAGUCUGUCUCUUCAUCUUCACCCCCCUAUAAAUGCUUCCUAUUUUUCAUCUUCUAUCUUCAUCUCUUCAUUUUCUUCUUCGAAACCAAUUUGCUGCCAUUUCUUGGCAUUCUGACGAUCAAUCUGAUCCAAAAAUGGACUGUUUAGUCCGCCCACCUUACUAUUUACCUUGAUGUCACCUUUGGUAUGGGAGGUAUAGGAAAUAUUUUCUGGCCAGCAGCGAAGUUCUUUCCUGCAAAAUUAAUCCCAUCGUCUCUUUGUUCUUCACAAGGAAUCAAUGAUGGAAGGCAAUUUUUGGGCUGCUUGUGGGCCACUUUGCUUGCUGAGAGUGCUUCUCAGCUUACCUGCUGAGAGUGCUUCUCAGCCUCUUUGCUCGCCAUUACAGCGUUGCAUUUAGGAAGGUGGUGAGGCCAGUACACCCUCUUACUCGGCAAUCCCACCAUUGCAGCGAUGCAUUUAGGAAGACGAUGUGAAGCUUACUCAGCGAUCAACCGGGAGAUCAUCUUACUUUAGUUGUAUUUUGUAGCACGUCCAUUAUUUGUAUCUUUUGUAUUCUUGUAAUGAACGUUUGAUAAUAAAGAACUUUAUUCGAACGUAUUUCGCUCUGUCCUUAUUAUGUUUUGAUCGUCCAAAAUGUUUGGUUAUGUUUUUAUCUGUUCACAUUCCCAUAAAGAAGGAACAUAUUUUUUCAAAUAUUUGCCGUUAAUGAAUCUUACGUGCUUGGUGCCGUCUAAAUCUUCCAAGUGGUACGCCCCAUUGGGUAACACACUGUUUAUUUUGUAUGGUCCUUCCCAAUUGGGCGACCACUUCCCAUACUUUGGAUCUUUGCUAUCCAAAGGGAGUAUCGUUUUCCAAACUAGUUCACCCAGGCUGAACGACUUGGCUAUAACUUUUUUAUUAUAAAACUUAGCCAUUCUUUGCUUUUGAAAUUGCAACCUAUCUAAGACGUCCAACUUCAAUUCGUCUAAACUCAACAAAUUUUGAACUAGUGAUUCGGCAUACUCAUCGUCAUUCAACUUAUGUUGCAAGCACACUCGAAUAGAUUGCACGUUGAUUUCCAUAGGCAAGACGGCUUCCUGUCCAUAAAUAAGUUGGAAAGGAGUAACUUUGGUACUUGACCGAGGUGAUGUUCUAUAAGCCCAUAAGGCAUUGCUCAAACAUUCGUGCCAAUUUCUGGCAUUUUCAUCUAUCAUCUUUCUGAUGAUAUUUUUUAGAAUCUUAUUAGAAGAUUCCGCUUGUCCGUUGGAUUGAGUGUAGUAUGGUGUGGAGUUUACUAAUUUAAUUCCAAACUCGCUCAAAAAGUUGUUUACUUGAUCCCCAUUCAAAGAUGUUCCGUGAUCUACCAUUAAAGUUUGUAGAAUCCCAAACCUAUAAAUAAUGUGAUCACGGAUAAACUCUAUAACAUUCUUCUGGGUGAUUUCUUUCAAAGGUACUGCCUCUACCCAUUUGGUGAAAUAGUCAGUUGCAACUAUAAUAAAAGUAUGUUGCUUGGACGAUGGGGGGUAGACCUUCCCUAUCAGAUCUAUCGCCCAACUUUCGAACGGCCAAGGUUUAAUAAUAGGUGCCAUCUCUCGUGCUGGCGCCCUUUGUAUUAGACCAUGCUUUUGGCAUGCUAAACAACUUUUUGCAUACUGAACGAAUAGUUCUCCCAUCUUUGGCCAAAAGUAUCCACUCCUAAUAAUUAACCAUCUCAUCCUUUGGCCAGCUUGAUGAGCUCCACAUAUCCCUUCGUACACUUCAGCCAUGAUCGUCUUGGCUUCUUGCAAACUUACACACUUUAGUAAUACACCAUCAGGGCGUUUUUUAAACAACUCUUCAUCUAUUAGUGUGUAAUUCAGCAAACAUAGCUUUUUUUUCCUACUAAUCCCUCCAUUAGGUUCUUUAAGGAACCCUUUAAUCUCUGUUCUCCAAUCUACUGCAUCUCCAUCUUGUAUACAGUGAAGUUCAAUUUUCCUCGCCCUUCUUUGAGUUACGGGCAAUAUGGUUCCAUACUCAUAAGUAGAUUUCCAAUUCAAGACCUUUGAGAACCCUGAAGCCAUUUAGGCUAACUCAUUUGCCACGUCGUUAUAUAUCCUAUUAACACAUUGAAGUUCUACUUGAUCAAAUUCCUCUAAUAAUUCUUGGGCGAUCUCAUAUUGACUUAUAAUGGAAUCACUUUGGCAUUUGAAAUCACCGAUCAAUUGAUGUACCACCCAUAUCUAUCAUUAGUUCUAGGCCUACAAUUAAGGCUUCAUAUUCGACUUGAUUGUUGGUGCACAUUCUGUCUAAGGUGAAUGCAAACUUGUAGCAAAUCCCUAAAUGAUUAAUCAAUGCUACUCCUACUCCUGCACCUUUAGAGGUUUUUGACCCAUCGAAAUACAACACUCAAGGUUUUAAUUCGAACGAAUUGAUUUCUAAUUCGAUUUCUUCAGGCAUGUCAAGGCAUGGAUGAUCGGCUAGAAAGUUAGCUAAAGCCUGAUUUUUGACUGCCUUUUGAGGUAUAUAUUGUAUUUCGAACUCUGAUAAAGCUAGUGUCCAAAGGCCUACCUUUUGGUGUAAAAUAGAGCACGAGAACAUAUACUUAACUAAAUUUACUUUAGAAAUUAAAUAAACGGUUACGGGCCGUAAAUAAGUCCUUAAUUUUGUGCAUGUGAAAUACAGUGCAAGACACAAUUUUUCAACGGUAGAGUAAUUACAUUCACAUUUCGUUAACCGUCUACUUAAGUAGUAAAUUGCGCUUUCUUCACCAAAUUGGUCUUCCUGUGCGACCAUUCCAGCUAUUGAUUCUUUUUCAGCCGAUACAUACACUUUCAUUGGCCGUCCUUGGAUUGGUGACACCAACACUAGUGGACUUGAUAGAUAUAUCUUCAGGCUUUCAAAAGCCUUUUGAUGUUCUUCUUUCUAGAUAAAUUCGUCCUGAUUUUUCAGCUUUAAUAGCGGGGAAAAGACUUUAAUUCGUCCUGCACAGUUAGAAAUAAAGCGUCUUAAAAAAUUUAAUUGGCCUAUAAACCUUUGCAACUCCUUUUUGUUGCUAGGUGGUUUGGCUUCUAAGAGAGCCCUUGCUUUAUUUUUAUCAAGUUCGGUCCCUCUCUUGUGUACUAAGAAACCAAGAAAGUUCCCUACAUUAACACCAAAUGCACAUUUCAAGGGAUUCAACUUUAGCUUAUAUUGCCUCAUUCGUUCAAACAAACAUCUUAACUGUUCGAAAUGAUCCUCUUCUUUAAUAGACUUGACUACUAUGUCGUCUACAUACACCUCAACAAAUUUGCCUAUCAUAUCAUGAAAGAUUAAAUUCAUUGCCCUUUGAUAAGUUGCCCCUGCAUUUUUUAGGCCGAAAGACAUAACUACCCAUUCAAAACAUCAUAGAGACACAGGGCAUCUAAAGACAGUUUUGUGUAUGUCUUCUUCAGCUAUAUAAAUUUGAUUGUAUCCUGAAUACCCAUCCAUGAAAGAAUACAUGACAUGUCCGGCAGUUGAAUCUACUAAAGAAUCCACCGUGGGCAUUGGAUAUUCAUCUUUGGGUGUAGCUAUAUUUAAUUUCCUAAAGUCUAUACACACCCUUAGUUUACCAUUCUUUUUUAGUACUGGCACAAUAUUCGACAACCAUUCAACAUAUUUGGCUGUUCUUAUAAAACCUGCUUUCAAUAAUCGCACUAUCUCUUUCUUAAUCUCAGAGAGUACAUUAGGAGCAAAACGCCUAGGGGGUUGCCUAUGAGGUUUAAAAUUAGGCUUAGUUGGUAACCUAUGUUCCACCAAGUCUCUAUCUAAACCAGGCAUUUGUUCAUAUUUCCAAGCAAAACAAUCUUUGUACUCUUUUAACAAAGCGAUUAAUUUGUUACUAACCUCUUGGUCGAGCAUCUGGUUGAUGAACGUUGGGUGAUCUUCUCCUUCAUCGCCAAUAUUUACUUGGAUCAGAGGGUCUUGUGCUUGAGCGUAUCCAGGUUUGGCAAUCCGCAUCACUUCGUCGCCAGUUCUUUUGUAAGUACUUCCUCUUCCAAAAAGUCCACCUUGUUGACUUCUCGGCCAUUGCUUUGUUCUAACUCGAAUACUGCCAACUUGUCCUUCAGCGCUUUUAGGGCAGUCUCUUCCUUCGCUUUGUCAUUGCAUUCCUUAUUGAAAGCCAUCAGUCUGGCUUUGAAGGCCUGAAUGUCGGCCAUUUACUUUUGUAACUUAAAGUCCAUUCAAGACUCCUUAAUUAUUCUUUUGCCAAUUACUGACUCUUCCAGGGCCACUAUAUUUGGCCUCAUCUGUUUGAACAUCUCAGUGAGUGCGUCCACUGAGAAUGGUUCUUCGCUUUGCGCGACAACCUGAGUUUCUUCCCCGUCUUGUACUACUCUGACAUGUCCAUAGUUUCCUUCGUACAUGAACUUUUCCACCGAGUUUGCUUCCGUGACAAAGGCCUAUGAUCGGCCUGUACCACCUCUGCUUCGCCUUUGUCAUUCCAAAAAAUCAGGCAUUGAUGGAGCGACGAGGGUAUACAGCGACUUCCUUGUAUCCAAUCUCUUCCUAGGAGCACGUUGUAACUAGUAGGACCAUCUAUUACAAAGAAGACAGUGGUCCUAGUCGUCGUACCUAUAGUUAUGUCUAAUGGCAUAACUCCCUUAGCUGAAGUUGCUCCUCCAUUGAAGCUAGUGAGAAUGACUUCUGUAGGAAUCAUGUCACCCUCUAUUUUUGCGAACUUUCUCAUCAUCCUAAAUGGAAUAGUGUUUAUAGCUGCUCCAUUAUCGACAAACACUUUUGCCACUGGGACGCCGUUAACUAGAGCUUUAACGUAUAACGGCCUCAAGUGUUUAGUCAAUUUCAUGGCUGGCCGUUUAAAAAUAACCUUUUCGGCAACCUCUAUUUCUACCUCUUGCUUGUUUUCUGUCGAAUUAUCCCUGUGUGAUAAGUCGACGUGCAGUAUGUCACGCUGAUCCUCUGUCCCCUGAACUUCCUUCUUACUUUUUUCUAAUGCUUCCUCAUCAGUUAUCCAACCUGUGGGAGGGGGCAUUAUUCUUGGAGGUGACCCAUACUUUUCAGAACGAGGCACUCUCUUCUUCCUUUUGGGUGUCCCGUACAAUACGUAGAAAUCGAAAGGACGCCCAGAUGGCUCCCCCAACAAGUCUACUUCGCAAACUCCCUCUUGAUGUAGUUGCUUAAACAGAGUAUUACGCGAUACUCCUCUCUUUUUCCUUUCUGCUUCUAGAUCGAUUUCUUCUUCAAUGUCCGUCAUCCCAUCGUCUUCCUCGUUGUUGUAGGCCUCUCCAGAAGUCUGGCCUUCUUCACAUACCAACACGCAGGCUUCUCCUUCGUUGUCCUCCCUCUCUUCUUCCUUUUCCUUAUUCUUGAAUUCAUUGGCCAGUAGGUAAUUAUUGGCCACGACAGGAGGCAACGUACCGAAUUGGAUAGCAAGGGGCUGAUCUGGAUCUUCUUCAUCCCUCUUGUCCCUCUCAAACCUUGAUCUCCCAGAAGAGGUUUCUGGCAGUUCCUUCAUUGAUUCAUCUGUACCGGUUUCUUUAUUACCUUUGAGGACGUUUUGAUUGGCUACCUUAAGUAGUAUAGGCGCUUUAGGAUGUGGCAUUCCUUGUUGCUGCCUCAUCAUCCGUCCGUAGUUUCGUUGGAAACGCCUUUGUUGGGUUCUAGUCAUCUCAUCGAAGGGUAUUGCCCUUCCUGCAUUGUACUGGAAUGAAUGCCAUACAUUUGGCCGGCGAGGUUGCGGCCUAAAUGUUCUUCCAGUAUCUGCUGGUUUGAACUGCCUUUCAAAAGGCGGUCCUCUAUAGAAUGAUGUACCUCGCCCUCUACCAGGCUGAAUGUUUGGGAAGAAGGUAGGGCGAUGAGGAUGCUGCCAUAUCCCUGGUUUCUCCGUGUUUUCAUUUACUUCCCUUUUACACCUUGCACACAGGACGUUUUCGUCCUUUUUUGGUUCUUUUCCUUUGAUUCGUUCAAAGACGCUGGGAUGUGGUUUAGGAUCUUCUUUUCCGUCAUCUACGACCAAUUUGAAUUUUGGUAACUUGUUCUUGAAUCCAGAUGUUACCAUGUUUACUCCAAGUGGUUGUGGGAAAGGAUUCUCGUCCACUGCCAUCUUUUUCUUAUCAUCGAACGUAAUUCGUCCUGAUUCAAUAGCAUCCUGCAAUACAUGACGGAAAACCAAGCAAUUGUUAGUCAGAUGUGACCAUGUAUUAUGCCAUUUACAAUAUUUUUUACCCUUAAUUUGUUCAGGGUUUGGCAAUUUGUGCUUAUCGCUCAAUCUUAUUUGCUUAUCCCUAUAUAAUUUAUCGAAUAUGAGGUCAGCUUUGGUCACAUCGAACGAGAACGUUCUAGCCUUUAUGUUUCCAUCCUUCAUGGGCUCAUCUUUGCCCGAUGGUCUAGGCUUGGCCAUUAUGGGACAAGUAUAUAUAUCCACUUUGACCAAUUCGGCCAAACACAUUUCGGCCUGAUCGUAUGACUCGUCGUCGAUGGUAUGAACGUCAAAAUUUGGGUCUUUGUAAUAAGUCCCUUUACUAGAAUUUUUCAUUUGUUCUUCUUCUCUUAUCAGUCGCUCAUACCUAAUCACAUUUGCACUCAACUGGAAAAGGUCAGGGAAUUCCUUGUCCUGGAACUUCUUUUUUAAAUCAAAGCUCAAGCAGCCUUGAGCGAUCUUGACAAAUUCUUUUUCAGGCAGAGGUACAAAACACUUGCUUCUUGCUGUCUUGAACCUUUGGAAAAAACUUUCUGCACAUUCAUUUGGCAUUAGACGUAAAUUCGCCAAAUCGGUCAAAGUGACUUCAGACUCAGUUUUAUAAAACUGAGCGUGAAACAAAUGUUUCAAUUGUUGCCAUGUUUGAACAGAGGUCGCUGGCAGGUUGAUGAACCAGGAGAAAGCUACUCCUGUUAAUGAACUAGGGAAAAGUCUCAUUUUAUGGUAAUCGGUUACAUCACCACUUUGCAAUGUGAAUCGCCCUAUGUGUUCUAGAGUAGACACCUCUCCUAAACCGAUAAAUAGUGAGAAUUCUGGCACUUUGUACCCUCUAGGCCAUGGAUAUGCUUGAUCUACCCAAUCAGGAUAUGGCUUUGUGUACGUCGGCCUAAUGACGGGACGCACCCCAAAAGCCAUCUGAUCCUGUACGAUUUCCAUAAUCUGGUUCCUCAACAUGACGUUGGGAUCAUAUGGAAUUCCUACAGGUUGGUUAACCGGUUGGUUUGCAUGAGGCCUGAUGUUUGGUCCUUGAUUGGCAACAAAAUUACCAUGAUUAGGACCAUUACCAUUAGCCUGAACAUCUACUCCCUCGUUACCACGUGGACCAUUCUGUCCAUUGUUUAGGACAUUAUCCCUCGCGUUUGGAUUAGCCCCCAAGUUAGGCAUACCACUACCAUUGCUUUGAUUUGGUACUGUAGUACCCCCUUGGUUUGAAGUAGAGGGACCAGAAAGUGGUUCUACCCCUUGACUCGGAUUUAGGACCGAUGGAUUAUGUCCUACAAUUGUCCUAAUUUGAAAGUGAUUUGUAAGAGGUAUAGCCGGUUGACAUAUUUGGCCUACUAACUUGUUCAUUGUUUCAUUCAACGUCUUUAGUUGUUUGGCCAUGUUGUCAUAGUGUACAUUCCCAUUUUGUGUAAGUCUUUCCAUAUUAUGAAUACUUCGAAGAUUUACCUGUUCAACGACGUCUUGCGUGAGUUCUCCAAGUAAUGCACGCAUGGUUCGAGGACUCAACUCCGUCAUUGGUUCGUAACGACUGUUACUGCUCUGAUUUUGUCCUUCUGUUCGUGGAGAGGCAUGCUGCUCCUCAUAUCGCUCGAUUACAGAUUGGAUUCCUCCCUGACUUGCUGCUUCCUUAUCGGAUCUCUGAGGCAUAUCGUUUACCCUUUUGUACUUUCAACACCUAACACCACUGUCCCACUGGGCGUGCCAAAUUGUUUCGCGCGGGUUAGUCGCUAACAAUUAAAAGGGAUCAGACGAUUGUGUAAGGGACAAACCUCUUGAGACAAAGUCCCAAAAAGGGGUGUUCUUUUAUUGGCGAUGACUUUACAAUUGGAAAUCAAAAACAACAUGCCUCCAAGGGGCGCAAGCACACGAGUUAUUGAAAGAAAAGUGUUUAAAUCUAAAAACUAAGGAAAUGAAAAUUACAUAUUCUCUGUUUGAGAGUUUUGGAUUCGGUCUUUUGCUUUUAUGUCCUUUCUCCAUUUUAUACUUCAUAGACGAUCUCUUUGUGAUUAACUACUCUAAAAACUGCUUGAUCGUCCUAUAACUACCCACUUUCUUCGUAGUGGCCAUUUUGUCAUGAAAACUACCUUUUAACUGCUGCCAUUACCUUUCAUCGUUCAACCGCUUUCGAUUGAAUUCUUUGAAUCGUGGAACGUGAAAGGGCUGCUUCAACAACUGCUUUGAUAACUACAUUUCUUGAUAACCACGACACGUUAUGUUUGUUGAUACCUUGGGCGACUUGAAGGUUUGGGCGAGAAUAGAAUAACAGCUCUGGGCGACCGUAUGACACUCUAUUCGUUCAGAUUCUGGGCGACUUGCAAACUUGGGCGAUGGCGUUACCGCAUUCUUGGGCCCCCUUAUUUGGGCCUUCACUUUGAUUUGUUCGAUUGUACUUCGUUCUUUGGGCUAUCUGAUUUGGGGAUCCUCCAAUUGGGCUUUACUCCUUGAGCUGUUCGAUUUGGGCUGAAUUUUUAUGUGUCAACACUUAUAUUGCUUACAAAAUUUUGUAACCAUACCAUUUGCAGGAAAAAGUUUCUCGAAAUUGAAGUUGAACAAGACUUACCUCCAAUCAACAAUAUCACAAGAAAGAUUGAAUGACGUGAAUAUGUUAUCAAUAGAGAAAGAAAUGGUUGAACGGCUAAAUUAUUCAGAUUUAAUUAAUGUUUUUGCCUCUAAAAGAGCAAGAUGAAUAAUAUUUAAUUAAUUGUUUGAAACAUUGUUGAUUUUAUUAUAUGAUAAUAUAAAUCUUUUGUAUAAACAUAUUUAUUUGUUGUUUUAAUGUUAGGUUUUAGGUUAGUAAUAGGUUGCAUAAAAUACUGUUGAAUUUUGCAUUUACAUUGACUUUGGAGGGCAUAAUUUAUGGAUUUCGCCUCGAGUCUCGACAAUCAUAGAAUCGGCCCUAAAGGCAGCCAUCGUAUCAUAUCCAUUUUCUCGUAAAGGAUGCUCACAGAUAGAUUGUAGGGCAUAUAUUUUCUCAACAAAAGGUUUCAUGACAGUUGUCUUCCAGUUAGAUAGUUGUGUAAUUACUAAUUAUUUCUAUAUGUACUUAAACUUCACAUGAAUCAAAGUUAAGAGCAUUUUCAAUACUUCAUCAAAAGUGACCAUUUAUGUAAUGUCUGUAAAAAGUGACAAUUUCUUUAUACCUUUUCUUUCAAAAAAAAUAAAAUUGAGUUUGUGAAAUUCUAAUGUACUUGGCACCAGCAUCAAGGUCUUGGUGGUCUAAUUGGAAGAAAAACGAUUCUCAUUUCACAUCCUUAAGCAUCAUUCUUUCGAUUACAACAACAUUUGAAUUAAUGAACUAACGAUAUAUUCACAGGAUUAAUGUUGAUUUCCAACUGCUUCAAUACAUCAAACAAAAAUCAAGUUUUAAUUUCCAAACGAAAAACUUCUUUUUGAUCGAGCAAAACUUUAUUUUGAUUGAAAAAAACAAUUUCAACCUUUAAGGUGUGAAUCCACACAAAAUUGAAAAUUAUCAUUACAUGAAAAAGAAUAAUAUAAAUAAUAGUGAGAAUAUCUCUCUGACCGCUGCACAACUAAAAAUAAAAAAAUAAAAAAAAAUCAUUUCGUGUCUCACUACUACUAAUAAAGAAUUUAAAACAUGGAAAUAAAGAAUAAACAUAUUAGAGUUCCAUCGAAUUGCUAAGCAAACUAGUGUCCAGCUCCAGGGCUUGUGCCAGAUUCCUUAACUCCUCCAAGCGUGUAAGCAUUAGUAAAUUUGUUUCCUUCACCAGAUUUCUUAUUUCCUCCAAGCGUUUGAGCAUUGGACAAUUUGCGUUCGUCACCAAGGCUUGGACCAGACAUUUUAAUCCCUCCAAGUGUUUUCGCAUUGGUAAACUUCUGACCUUCACCAGGACUUGGACCAGACAUUUUAAUCCCUCCAAGUGUUUUCGCAUUGGUAAACUUGUGUCCUUCACCAGGACUUGGACCGGCCUUCACAGCAUUCAAGGACAAAUUAUAAAUCGAUGCACAAUUGAGAGGACGGGCCUCGACAGCAAACAUGACUGAAUAAAACAACAUAAGGAAGACGACGAAGAAACUGAUGUAUAAUUUCAUAUCUCUAGUUAGAAACAGACCCACAGAGUAGAGAGGAAAAGAGAAAUUGAAUAUGUGUUGGCUGUGGAUGAAUAGAGGAUUUGGAGACUAAUUUAUACUGUAAGAUUUCUUGACUAACAAGGAAGGAAAAGACUGCUGAUUUGCAAUACCAUUCAAAGAGAACGUGAGAAUUGAAAUAUUUAGAAUUGGAAUGGAACGUAUUUCUAAACGAACCUGCAAGUGAGGUUCAUAAGCAAAGAAAAUAAAAGAUUGCGAGUCUAAAUUGGAUAGCAUUUGUUUCUAAUUCAGUUCUCCUACGGUCUGCAUGCGUAAUGGAAAAAUGGAGUUCAAUUCUAUUUUUAGGACGGCGAAUAUGCACAUAUGUUUGAAUUCAAAUUAGUUACUGAGAUUAAAAAAUAUAUUUUUUCCUCAUACUAUUCAAUUGUCAACAAGUGUGAUAAAACCGGGCAUCCAAGACAACAUCGGCCGUCCAAUCUAGUCUAUCAAUUUGCAAUUUACACGUGUAAGGUUCCCAACCUCGUACAGGACUUAGCCACCAGUUGUUGGACCAUGCUGUGUAUGCAUGAAAACGUUGACACCCCUCACAUGUUGUUACACGUGGGUCUCUCUUCAUGUAAAGGGUAUAAAGCAUUGUGUACACUGGAGGUGUACAUAUAGCAUAACCCCCAAUUGUUUUUUAGGGGAAUUUAUAAACAAUUAAUUUAUAAAUAAGUAUAAAAAAGUUAUGAAUAAGUGAUUAAUAUUUGUGGGUGUAUUGAAAUAUGUGAUUGAUCAAUUUUUAAAUGAUAUAUAAAUUUGUUUCAAGGAGGCUGAGGUUUAAAAGUCAUAGUCGUCUUUUAUUUUCUAUAUUUUUAAUUUGUUGAGGAAUAGAUUGUAUUUAAUUAUAACUCUCACUCUUUUCAUUCGCUUUGAUUUAUGCAUAUAACAUACCGGUCAAGUAUCUCUGAAGAUCACUAUUAUAUGUAAUUUCCACUGUCUUGUAUGCAAAUUUUGAUUGAUUAUUAAGCAAAUUAAAAAUUUCUACUAAAGAAAUUGAGUCAAAUAGUCAACUUGUGGAUUAGUAGAAUUAGUGGAUUACCCAUUUAUCAUGGUAUGAGCUAUGCAGUGGAAGACAAUGGAUAGGACUCCUCUAGAAAUCAUACACAAUAUCAAUUAUUGCAGUCAGUAUAAAAUAACGAUUUGAUCUCAGGGGCUUGGAUCAUUACAUUAAAAUGUAUCGGUCAAGUAUGUCACAAGAUUACUAAUAUAUGUAAUUUCGACUUCACCUAUGAAAAUUUCGAUUGACUUUAAAGAAAAUUAAAAAUUUCUAUUAAAGUAAUUGAGUCUAAUAGUCAACUUACGGAUUAGUAGAAUCUAUAUAAGUACCCAUUUACCACGGUUCGUCAUAGAAGUCAAUAGAUAGGAUUCCUCUAGAAAUCAUACACAAUAACAAUUAUCGUAGUCAUUGUGAUAUAAAGAUUUGAGAACAGAGAUUCAGAUCGCUACAUAUAACAUAUCGAUUGGGUAUCUCUGAAGAUUUAUUAAGAUAUGUAAUUUUGAUUAUCACGUAUAAAAAUUUUGAUUGAUUUUAAAGUAAAAUAUAAAUUUCUACUGGUAAUUCAGUCUAAUAGUAUUGCCUGUCUUUUAAAUUAGAUUGCUCCAUUUUCUAGUUGACUGCCAAACGGUCCAAGUCCCCAAGGUUGAUUGUAAAGCCGUCUAAACUCAUCAAAAUAUCCAUGACGAAAAAUACACGGUCAAGAAUAAUUUGUAAUCUAUAAUCCAUAAUAUAUAUUAAAGUAUCACAUCAAGGGAGAAUCAUUUUUUUUGACGAUUUUAACCCUCAUACAAUUCAAUUAAUUCAAUAAUACAUUACUUUUCAUUUUUAGAUAUGUAAUAAAUGCUACAUAAUUAUUGUCCUUUAUGAAAUUUGUGCUCUUUUAUUGUUGAAGAUGCAAAAAGAGACGCCAGUACCAGAAAGUAAGAGAGCAGCACUUACCCUUCUAAGCUAAAGAUGAAAACAAGUUUCUAAUCAGCUAUCAUCUGGCUUCAUCGACUUUCAAUUGGGAGAACACUUCAUUAGGAUUUGCUUGGCUAGCAUCUGAGAAACUAUACGACAGGAGGGAAAGUUCAUCUUCUAUACAAGGAAUGCUUUGAGAAGGUAGUCGUUCAACAACAGGCAUAGGCAACUCCCAAGUAACUUCUGUGGUGCUGUCUUCAUAUGGUUCUCGAGGCACUGCAGUGUGUUGAAGCCGUAAAGCGUAUUCUAAGUCCCACAAGACGUCGACCAUAUUAGGCCUAUCGACUCCACAUUCUUGCAAACACCUUUCUACUGUAUCCCCAAAUUUCCUUAGCGAGUUGGGAUUUAUUUUUCCCACAAGCAAAGGAUCCACAAUUUUCUCUAGCUGUCCCUGCUUUUGCCAGGAUAUUCCCCAAUCAGCCAAGUUGAUUUGCUCCCGUGGAAGCAAGUUGUUUAUGACAGGUCUUGCACAAAGUACUUCAAGAAGUACCACACCAAAAGAGUACACGUCGGAUUUUUGUGUGAUUUCUAAGCAUCUGCAGUACUCGGGAUCAAGAUAUCCAAAGCUGCCUUUGACAUCAGUAAUUACAUGAGUUUGAUCCAGAGGACCUGAUCGCGAAAGGCCAAAAUCAGCAACUUUAGCCACAUAGUUUUCAUCAAGCAAGAUGUUUGUCGAUUUGAUAUCCCUAUGGAUGAUUGCCCCAUUAGAACCAGUGUGAAGGUAGUGAAUACCUUUUGCUGCACCAAUGCAAAUUUCAAGCCUUUGACUCCAAGAUAAUUGAGAAGGCGAAGUGGAUUUCUCCGAGUCGCCCCUCAAAAUGUACAGAUGAUCUCUUAAAGUACCUUUUUCCAUAAACUCAUAAACAAGUAUCAUUUCAGACCUUUCUUCACAAUAUCCAAUCAACGAAACGAGAUGCCGGUGGCGAAUUUUGGAUAAAAUCAUUAUUUCAGUAUGAAACUCGGGAAGGCCCUGUCCACUUCCUGGCUCACUUCUUUUUAUAGCCACUUUUUUACCAUCCCGAAGUAUUCCCUUGUAAACUUUCCCAAAACCCCCCUCACCAAUCAUCAAUUUGGAGUCGAAAUUUUUUGUGGCGUAGACAAUGUCAGACAAAGACACCUUCAAACCGAGGUUUAAAUCAGCAAGAGGGACUCCAUUAACAGUUCUAUCAGUUGUCUUACUAUGCGAAUUCCCCCCAUGGAGAUAUCCCAAUGGCAAAUCAAAACUCUCAGCAGGCUUCGUUUUUCUCCGUUUCAAAACAAUAUAUAACAUCCCUAUAAAGAUGAAAAUUAACACUGUACCUCCUAUACAUGAACCAAUGAUUAUAAACGAACUUUUUUUUGUAUCUUCCUCUGGAGCCGAACCCAAGUCCUUGACAAACUCCAUGAUUUCAACUCCAUUUAGAAAGGAUCCUUCAUUACUUGGAUCACUUGGAGGCCCAAUACUUAUUUUCAUUAAACCAGAAUCAUCCGAAUCAACUACAAUAUCAACGAGAAAAGGAGUGGCAGUGGCAGUGUCCGUAGUAUUAAAAAAUGGACUUAUUCCGAUACUGAAAUUACCAUAGAUAGAGAGAUUGAAUUGGAGGCCUUCGUUUGAGGUUUGGCUAAAAAUGUCACAGAAAUGCACCCGAACAAAGUGUGUAGCUCUUUUCUUCACACCGAAAUUCCACGAAAUGUUGAAAUUAUUGUUUGGCCUACUUUCAUUUGUGUUCAUUAUUUUGGCAGUCUUGUAAACAGGAUCAGGGGCAUCAAACCGGGUGGCCUCUCCACGCAGGUAGUUUAGAGGGCUAUCUGUAGAAAAAUUGUUAAUUGCCGAAUCCUUGUUGAACAAAUAAGCAUCAUCAGGUAUCCACCUCCUCAACAAGGUGUCAUUAUCCGGCGUAAUAUUUGAUCCCCCAAAGUUAAUUCUAUGGAUUAAACGUAAGGGGCUAGACAACAGACUCUUGUAGUCAGUCGUGUUUCCUUCUGGAGUUUUAUAUGAUUCAGAAUCGCGAAAGAA
rnacentral:lncRNA from 1 species